GUGGGGAAUUUUGGACAAUGGGCGCAAGCCUGAUCCAGCAAUGCCGCGUGCAGGAAGAAGGCCUUCGGGUUGUAAACUGCUUUUGUACGGAACGAAACGGUCCUGGUUAAUACCCGGGGCUAAUGACGGUACUGUAAGAAUAAGCACCGGCUAACUACGUGCAAGCAGCCGCGGUAAUACGUAGGGUGCAAGCGUGAAUCGGAAUUACUGGGCGUAAAGCGGGCGCAGGCGGUGCUGUAAGACAGGCGUGAAAUCCACGGGCUUGACCUGGGAAUUGCGCUUGUGACUGCAGUGCUGGAGUGCGGCAGGGGGGGAUGGAAUUCCGCGUGUAGCAGUGAAAUGCGUAGAUAUGCGGAGGAACACCGAUGGCGAAGGCAAUCCCCUGAGCCUGCACUGACGCUCAUGCACGAAAGCGUGGGGAGCAAACAGGAUUAGAUACCCGAGUAGUCC
rnacentral:rRNA from 1 species